rnacentral:rRNA from 1 species
GAUUCCCCCAGUAACUGCGAGUGAAGAGGGAAGAGCUCAUCAUUGGAAUCUGGCGGUGUUGCAUCGUCCGAGUUGUAGAUGAGGAGUAGUUCGUCUGGACUGCAUGGCAUCCAAGUACAAUAGGCCGUCAGUGGGACAUCAUAGAGGGUGACAAUCCCGUCCUUGAUGCCAAUGUACAAGUCCGUUACGAUGACUAUCUCAGAGAGUCGAGCAGUUUGGGAUUUGCUGCUUAAACAUGGGAGGUAGAUUCCUUCUAAAGCUAAAUACAGGCGAGAGACCGAUAGAGAACAAGUACCGCAAGGGAAAGAUGAAAUAGAACUCUGUGAAGGGAGUCAAAAGGCGUGAAAUUGUUGCGAGAGAAGCGAUUCAAGUCAGCGUAGCUAGGCCCAUUAAGCUUUAUCGCUUUGGACUAGCUUUGCCAGCGGUCUUGUCCUAGAGACUUGACUUUGUAUGCCCAGCCUGGUCUAUACAGGUAGCCCCUUUGGGGGUCAGUGGCAUGGCUGGUGGAAUGGCUUGCAAUCGACCCGUCUUGAAACACGGACCAAGGAGUCUAACAUGUAUGCGAGUAUAAGGGUGGCAAACCCGUAUGCGCAAUGAAAGUGACUUUCGUUGAUUGAGAAUGGCCUGACGACCAGACAAGCAAUAUAUGUCCCUCGAACGGCCAUUGCCCAAGUUCCGUGGUAGAACCCACGAACAUGGAGUUGGAGCAUACAUGCUAGGACCCGAAAGAUGGUGAACUAUGCCUGGACAAAGCGAAGCCAAAGGAAACUCUGGUGGAGGCUUGUAGCGAUUCUGACGUGCAAAUCGAUCGUCUGAUCUGGGUAUAGGGGCGAAAGACUAAUCGAACCAUCUCAUAGCUGGUUCCUGCCGAAGUUUCCCUCAGGAUAGCAGAGACCUAGUGGAAGUUGCAUGUGGUAAAGCGAAUGAUUAUUGAUCCUGGGGCUCAAAUGGGCCUCAGUCUAUUCUCAAACUGUGAAUGCGUGCGGUUGGACUGUGCUUAGCAAUAGAAGCCCUGCCAGCAA